rnacentral:lncRNA from 1 species
GCGCAACCAGAUAAAGCUUUAGCCAGUCAGAGGAAGCAAGCAUGAGUAGCGCAUAAACCUCCAAAACAACGGCUCCAACUAGCAAUAAGUAAGUUAUGGAAAUGUCGACCGGUGAGUAUUCAUGCUCAUCGAUGAUGAUUGAGAAGGUAACCAAUGCAGAAACAGAGGCCAAACAAGUAAUGCAGCGGAAAAAGAUCCCAAUACAUGAGUAGACUAGUCUUGCUUUGGUGUACAGCAAAUCAUACAAAAGUCCCAGCUCAUAUUCUACCAUUUUGAAGGCCACUCUUGGUUCAAGUCCUCGAAUUAAUUUGUUGCAACGGUAUCCCUGAUGAUGAUCAAAGAUAAGGUCUGCAAAUAAACUUUGUAGCUUCUCAAAAAAGAUAGCAACUAGAAGUGGGAACGAGUCAGGUCCACAAUUUUCUGCCGGAAAGUGUAAACCAAACACAUAGUGUAAUGAGGAAGUUCUAAAAUGCUUCGUGCUGGAGGACAUGAGCACGUAAGUCCUUUCCCCAUACUUGAUAAUUCCUGCAAUGAACACUGGAAUGGCUAUACACGAGAUGGUGGUGUCACCGUCAACCCAAGACCUCAAUAACACAUAAAUUGCAACUCCAAUCUCAAAAACAAGGCCAACAAGAUGCCUUAGCCACAACUCAUUGUCUUCUAAGGAGUAGGCAGUAAUAGUGUCUGAGCCACCGAGGUGCAAGAGAAGGAAUGGAGCCCAAAAUGACUGCAGUGAGUGGUUUUGAUUUGGAGCAUUACUUCCCAGGGACCUGGCAAGAAUGCCCAAUGCAACAGUUGCCACCCAAUCUGCUGACAAGUAUGCAGACCAAACAAGGAAGUUGAUCCAUGUACUUGUCGUACUCUUUCUUUUGGAACCAAAGGCAACGAGUAUUACCUGUAAUGAGAGGCUGAGCAAAACCAACACUCGUAUCUCCCAACCAUUCCAAAGUUUAAUCACUGUUUCAACGAGCGCCAUUGCUGGUCUCUUACUUUGCCUAAAACAUAAAAUAGUGUUUGCGUCUAUAACUAUAUUUAUUUUGUGAAAUCCCAAAAAGUGAACAUAGGAAGAUGGACAAAGAAAAAAUGAAGAUGAGAGCAUUAACUUUCAAAAUUUCUUUAUUAUUCUAAUUCCAUGAUGUAUUUUUUGUUAUCAAUUUCCUAAUUGAAGAGUUUGUUAAUAUAAGAAUGGUGUAUAUUAAUUAAUAUAAUAGGAUGACAAUAUUAUAUUUUAGAAAAAUAAACAACCAAUGAGAUAUAUAAAUAUAAUAAUUUUAUUAAUUUUUGACAGAUAAUUUUCAUUAGUAAGAUGUUUAGCAAUUAAAAGUUAAUUAAUUUUAAAUAAUAAUAUAGUAAAAAUUGACUAAUUAUAAAGGACAUCUAAUUCCAUAAUCGCAUGUAUAUUAUUAUUUAUUAUAUAUUUACUAUUAUUAAUAUCAUUUAAAUAAAAAAGUUUGCAAUGAAGCGUAUUACUGAUUAAUGGUUAUAUUAGCAAUAUGCUAAAAUUAAAGAAAUUGCAUUUAACUUAUUGACUCUUUUUACAAAAUUUUAUGUUUUGGUUAAUUCUAUAAACCUUAUAAUUUUAUAUGUUACUUCUAAUUAUAUAUGAAAAAUCUCUUCCUAUACACUUGCAAUCACCAUGUAUUUUUAGUUGGAUAUAAAAUUUAUCGAAACUCACUAUUUAUGUUAAUCUUAUAAUUAUUUAAAGUCUCAAAUCAUUUAAUAUAAUACAAAUUCUAGUUUGUGAUAUAGUUAAAUUUAAAUUUUAUGAAGAAUAAUUUUUUUUAUGGAAAGGGGAUUCAAAUCCAUACUUUUAAAUAGAGAGAUCAUGCACUAACUAAUAAGCCAAAUACUCAAGUGCUUAUAAAAAAUAAUUUACUUUAAUUAAAAGUUCAAGGUUAAUAAGAAAAAAGACAGAUAAAAAUUAGACAGUUUAUGCAUCAAUUGUAACAUAUAAAGAAUUCCACUAGAAAAAGUUAACAUAUAAAGAAUUAAUUGAGAGUUAUGUAUGUACACAAUUAUUUACACAAUUUUUAUUUAAAUAUUAAAAGAAUAAGGAGAUUUGAACUCAAACUUUUUUAAAGAAAAAACAUACACUUACUUUUAAGCUAAAUACUCAAAUUCAUUAUUAUAAAGUAAAAUUUUAAAGUACUAAUAUGAUCAAAUCAAAUUGAUUGUGGCUCUAACAUGAUAUUACUUUUGAGUCUUAAUCAAUAAAUCCACUCUCCUGAAAAAUACAACCCCCAAGAAGUGGUGAAGCAGAGUGGAAACUGGCUUGAUGCUUCCUGAACCAAUGCGCCUUUGACUAAAAGGAAUGAAACUUUUAAGUACUAAUAUGAUCAAAUCAAAUAAGUAGGUAAAAAUAUUCCAAUUCCCUAAUCAAAUGCCUUUAAAAAAAAAAUCAAAUAAGCAGGCACACAAUCUAACAUCAUAUUACUCAUGAAGUCCUGAUCAAUUGAUAAUAUUUAUACAUUUCCUAUGAUCAAUAUAACAUCAUUUUCUCCUCGAUCCUCCUUUUGUAGUAGAUCCUGUGUUGCUGCGCAUUAACUGUUUUUUAUAUUUUUCAGUGUUGGGGUGUUGCGGACUUCAUCUGUGCUUAAUCUCAGCUUAUAUUCUGCAUUGGUUUAUAAAGUGUUGCAAGUGAUGAAAUAGUUCUAUCGGUUGGGAUAUUGUUUUAUUUUUGUUUUCUUAGUUUGACUGGUUCAGUUACAGACCUUUUUUCUUAUAAUUGAAAGAAGGAAGAUUUGAACUCUAUUCUCUAUACAUCAAUCAAUGAGUCAAAUAUUUAGGUGUAAAUUCAGUUAUAAACUUGUUUAUAUAUUAAUUUUUUUUUUAAAUGUGAUUUAUUGAAUUGCUUCUAACCCAACACGUCAUAGGUAGUCUUUAGCUAAUUGUCUUAAGACUCCCAAUAACAUAAAAGGUUUGGCUUGAGUGUAAACCUGUACAAUUGCCAACAUUCAACCACACAAAAAGAAAUUGGUGCCUCUUACUAGAAAACUACCUUGCUACUUAAUAAAAUUGAAUUUUGAUUGAGCAAACAAAAAUUAAUAAAAAAACUAUAAAAUAUAUAGUAUUUAGUUAAACUUCAGUCAAAGGGUAAUAUUAUCAUUUUAUAAAAUCAUUAAAAAAAAAGAGGUGGUCAGACAACAAAUGAUACAAUUUCAUUUUUAUAUAAUCAUAUUCAAGGAUAUAAACCUUUUUUUAGUUUUAUGAAGAAAAAAAAAAAAGAAAACUCACCCCCAAGAGCUGGUGAAGGAUUGCUGGAGCCUCCUUUGAAGCUUUCUAAUCAGCCAAUGUGCCUUGAAUUAAAACAAUGAAAGAGACUCAUAAAUUUAUAGCAGUGAAGAAAAAUUCUUUUAAAGGCAUGAAGCAAGGAAUGAUAAGAGAAGAACAAAUUUUGGACGUUUGCUUUGGCAUUAAGUUAUCCAAGUAUCAAGGAAAAGUAAUACAGCAUGUCUCAUGAAAUAAGAGUUCAAAGGAAUACAUCAAGGCUUAUGCUUCAGAAAAUGCAUCUAAAAUAUUAUUAAUUACUCAGAUUUUGUUAAUUAGUGCUCUAAUUAAUUAAGAACAAUUAAUAAAAUGUUAUUUUUUACAUAUUAUAACAAAAUUUAUUAUUUUAAAAUAUUUUAUUUCAAAUGCACUCAUUGAUAAAUAAAAAGAUUGAUGAUUGAAAUACACUUAAUGAAAAUAUUACUUUUGAAAAUAACCUUACAAGCGUAUUUGCAAGAAAUCUUAGGAGUGAAUAUGCCUCCACAUCUAAUUCUAAUUUUCCUUCAAGCAAUUGUUUAUUAGAUUCUCAGGACAGAGCAUGGAAAACGACGACCCCUUUUUUAAUUAUAUAAAGUAAAAAAGAAUUUUAUUUAACGACGAACCUAAUUCUAUUGUUCGUUCGUGUCUUUGUUUGUCUACAACUUACAUGAGAGUCUAAUUAUUUUUCCAAACUGUGAAAGGCCUUACAACUCUAAAAGGUACAACUUCAAUAGUAAUUAAAUUGGUCUAAGACUCCUUCAUAUAAAAUCCAUAUUCCUUCGUAUAAAUAUAUAUCUCAAAUAAAUUUUCAAAUGAUUAGUGGAUUGGUGUUGGUAGAUUGCUCAAGCAAGCCUCUAUUUGAUCAUUUAUUUAUUGUAAAAUGUAAGUUUCUUUAUGUAAAUGAAAAAAAUAUGUAUAAAUGAUAAUUCAUCAAUAUUUUAGUGUAUUUUCUAAUUUUUUUAUAUAAUUAUAUGAAUUAUUAUAAAAACACAUUUCAAGUUUUGCGAUACCAUUUAAAGUAGAUUCCAUGAGUUAGGUGGUUCAACUUGCGAGUUUGGCUUGAAUUGGACCCUUGAUAUUAUUAAUUUAUGAAAUAACAAUCUUUGGGCCAUACCCUAUACAACAAUAAGAGACACUUUUGAUAUUCUUGAAAGGAAAACCGAAAGGCCCCUAGCUAACACUAGCCAAUUGGCCCUAUGGUGUCUGUGGAUUACCGUUGGAGAUUGAGCACUUAAAAAACUUGCCUUGAUGUUUGAAGGCUUCCAUUCAUAGGAUUUUGAGCUUUGAGAUUUUGACAAUUAGGAUUUGAAGGUAUAACAAUAUUUUUACUACUAAUUAAUUACAUUUUCUAUGUUAAACAAACCAAAUAUUUGAUUUUACUAUUGAAAAGGAUUUUAAAUUCCACUGCAAUAGGCUCUUGUUGAUUGCAUGAUUUCCCAACAAUCAUCACUAGACAACCUUUUAAUAUCAGGAGCAACAAUGGAAAGAUGACUAACCAAGGGGCCUUUUCUCAUUUUCCCAACACCCUUAACCACAUCAGCAUACGUUUUGCGCUGAUGAUAGGCCUCAAACCUAGAGCCAUUUUGAAAACAAUCAGAAGACCUAAAAUUCUCAGUCAGUGCAGUCUUAUGAAAUUCGAGGAGAGAGUAUAAGUAGUUAUUCACCACAUGUUGAGCAUUUUAAAGAAAGUCACAAGACUUUUGACGCAGAAAUCUAAUGCUUUCUUAUGGAAAGGCAAAGAUACAAAAGCUACAAGAACUAAAGUUAAUUAGCUGGGACUAAGGUUUCCAUCCAAAGAAUGAAGGGCGUUUAGCGUUUAGGCAUCGAGAAGAUCUCUCCUUGGAAUAAAGCCUGUAUGAUGGAAAACCGUUUGGGCUAUUCUUAUUCAAUCAGGGUCAUAACGUGUUGCUUGCAUCAAAUCUUAUAUAUGCACUAACAGGCAGAAGUCUGUGAUCUAUUCCUCUGUCUAGUGAUUGCUCAUGGGGGUGGAAGAAAAUCUUGAAACUAAGAAACUAUAUCAAACCCUAUGUGCAAAACAUAAUAGAUUAUGGAAAACCCACAGAUUUUUGGUUUGAUUGCUGCCAACCUAAAGGGCCUUUGUUGCUUAUGCACUAUAAUUUCAUGAUCUCUUCCUUUUCAAGUAAAAAUGGUAACUGCACUUGAGUAUUUAACUCAUUGAUUGAUACAUGAUCCAUUGUCUAAAAAAUAAUAUUCGAAUCCUCUUCUCCAAUUAAAAAAAAAUAAAAGGGACAACUGUAGUUAAUGUUGCACUCUUCCCUUUCAAGCAGAAAGGAACAAUUGUCAUUAAUGCUGCAAGUUUGGUUUGGCCUUUGGCUAGAUCAGAUGAUUUAGUAGAGACUCAAUGCUCCUCAUAUGAUGUUAUUAUUCUUAAUCCGAGACGGAAAGAUGAAGCCAUCUGGACUUAGUCUAGCAAUGGAAUGGGAAGUUUACAAUCUCUAGUACUUUGAAUAUCGUUAGACAUAGAAAACCAUCUUCUCUUGAGCCUUAUAGAGAAGAAACACUGCUUACCUGUUACUUGAAGAAGAAUACAAUCGUUCGAGAGAUUUUAAUAAUUUAGAUAGAUGACAUGAUUUUGAGGUCGAGACAGGAAAGGGGCAUGAGAUCAGGGUAGGGGAUUUGCAUUCAUAGCUCUAUCUUUAUACAUGUACAAAUUAAAUUCAAAUUAUACUUAAAUGACUCUUAAUUAUCAAAUCAAUAUAUAAUUAAUGACAUUCAAUAAAAGAAACAAAUUAGCAAAUCAACGUAUUAGUAUAUAGUUAAAAAUUAGUCAAAAUACCCACCAAGUUCUGUACCCAUGCAUUUUAUUCAUUUAGUCUCUGUACUCAAAAUCGAAACAAUUUAAUUCCUUGAUUUUAGCAAUUGAUAUAAUUUAGUCCCUCUCACUAACGGUAUUGAAUUUUACUGUUAAAAAGAUGAUGUCAGCACUGACAUCAACAUUGAUGUGACAUAUUUUGCUGGUGUGGCAUCGACUUGAUGACAUGGCAGCGCCAUGUGGCCCUAAUAUGUUGUCGUGUCAGUGCCACAUGGUAGAUAAAAAAAUUUUUAUGCUACGUUAUAGAGAUUAAAUUGAAUAAAAAUAUAUACUAUAUGGACUAAAUUGAACAAAAUUGAGAUUUUGAGGAACUAAAUUGAAAAAAAUAUUUAAAAAUUAUAAAUCUUUAAGUAGAUGAUAGAUAUACUUAUUAAUAAGUUAAAUAUUUAAGUACAAAAGAUUUAUGGUGUUAUAAAUAUAUAUAAAUAUUUUCUUACUUGAUUAUUUGAUUGUAAAAUAUGUAUAUUAAUUUAUCUUCUUUACAAAAAUUAAGUUUGAAUUCUCCUUCUAUAAAAAAAAUUUCAAAAAAAUUUUCAUACAUAAAGUCAAAUUUAGAUGAAUAACUUGCAUUAUGUUGAAAUAAAAUAAUAUAAAAAACUAAAUAAUUUUUUCUUUUAUUAUAAUAGCACAAAAAUUUGAAAUUUAUUUGACUUAACUUUUAACUUGAGUUGAAAUUAAAUUAGCAUAGUGAGUUGACUUAGUUUUUUGUUUGAAAAAAAUGAAAAAGGGAGAUAUAGAGUUAGCGAUGAUUAUAAAAAUAAUUCUUCAUUCUGACUUACUUAAUUUGGACAUGACAAACCUCUUAUUAUAAUCAUAAAAUCCGAGUUACUUCACCUCUUCAAUUUUUUAUAUAUUUUUUAUGUUUUUGUUUUAUCUAAUAUGUCAGGUUAUAUUCUUUAGGUUGAAAUUUCUUAGAUUAAAGACUGUAUUUAUGGUUGAUAGAGUUAAAUAUAAUUGUAAAUAUUUAUACAAUUUUAUAUUGUAUUUACAAAUUUUUUGUAGAUCUAAAGUUCACGAAUUAAAUUGUUACAACCGUAUCCCUGACGUUGAUCAAGGAUAAGGCCUGCAAAUAAAAAUUUUAGCCUCUUGAACAAGCUAUCAACUCGAAGUAGGAAGGGGUCAACAAAUAGGGCAGCUCCAAAUAUAUCUGCGUCGUUGUAUAGGUAUAAACGUAACAAAUUGUGUAAUGAGGAAGUUCUAAACUGCUUCGCGCUUGAGGUCAUGAGCACGUAAGUCCUUUCCCCAUACUUGAUAAGUCCUGCAAUGAACACUGGAAUUGCUAUACACGAGAAGGUGGUGUCACGGUCAACCCAAGACCUCAAUAACGCAUAAAUUGCAACUCCAACAUUGAAAAGCGCAUUAAUAUGAUUCUAGCAUUGAAAAGCUGUACAUUAAUAUGAUCCUCAACACCUUAGCAUUGUAAGUUGUUAGUUGUAUUGUUGCAGGAAAUACCUGACGCAAAUGAUAGAAUUAAUCAUGUGUGUUUCUUUGCGUGGUGGUUGGUGGUUGCUUUUGAAAUUGUGUUUGGCAGUAUUCUCGUACAGGGAUUCUCACCGGUCUUAUUUAGAUAUUAAGAGGUGAUUGCUUUAUGGUUGAUUUUGGUCGUAAGCUUGUAUUGGCGGGAGGUGUUUUGGGCGGGUUUUGUUUUGCUUUGAAUUCAUCUAUGAGGCUGUGUGUGUAAUGGGAUUGUACUUGGGCAGGUGGCGAAACAGGGGGUUUGUUGCAUUUUUUUAGUGGGGAUCUGGGUGGGACAAUGGGGCAAUAUAGUGACUGAUUUGGUUUUGUUGGGGUGAGGUUUCUUCCAAAAGUUACGGCUGUCUCGUGGUUCUCGUUAUAUGAUUACAGUGGUGUUGUGAGUUUUUUGCAAGGGAUAUAAUUUGGAAGAGUUUUCUUGGCAGCAGGGGCGCAAAUCUGAUUCCACGUUGUCUUUAGGAUACGUUCACUCGGCAGGAUUUGGAUGUUUACUGCCUAGGUUGGAUUCUUAGUGUUGUUUUUGAUGGCUAGGGCUAUGGAAAUUGCUGUUAUAGGACUAUGGUGUUUGUAUCAAGUGCUUUGCUCCUUGCCUUGAGCAAUUCCUCUCAUAUGAACUGUCUCUUUUCAUGACUUGGCUUUAUGCAAAGUUUUAUGUAUCACAGUGAUGUUUAUAAAAUAAUCUUUGACUGAGUAAACAAUAAAUAAACGGUAAAACUAAAUAUCAAAACUCAAGUGUUUUAUUGAAUAAUUUUGACAAUAUAAAUCAUUGAAUAUCUAAUAGAAAUGUGCUCAAAUUAUAAGAUCUAAAAUGAAAUACUUCACUUUAAAUAUAUGAAUGCGCUGAAAUUACAAUGAUAUAUUAAAAACAAAAUCCUUAAGAUGGUAUAAAAUGAUUAUUUUAUGUCAACAACUAUUUCUUCGAGUUCAAAAUUUGACACAUAAGUAUACAUGUUAAAAAAUGCCAUUAACAGAUAAUUAAGCUUCAAUUUUUGAAUGAUCCUAUGGUUGACGAUGAUGACUGAUCUUAAUUCUUUCCCACCAUGUCAAUAACUUCUUCUUAGGGAGUUGGCGAAGGGAUAAUUGCCCAUCUCGGUAUUGGCCACUGAUGCCAAAAUGUGCCAUAAGAAGGCAAACGUGAGUGAGCAGUUGUCCGCCUUUGGCGAGUUGGCGACCAUGCUCUUUCCAUCCACAAUGACCUGCGGCAUAUGUCAAUAGUUCUACCCACACUUUAUUCAUCAUCUCCCACUUUUCUUUCCUUCCCCGGUUUCUCUUGUUCAGAUUUUGCAAUUGUUUCGCAAGAUCGCGACCCUUCAAAAGGAUACUAGACUCAUCAGAUCGAAGUUCUUCCAAUUUUGGACCCCCUUCAAGCAACUCUUGGUAGGCUUUUUCUAUUUGUAUGUCUCUCUUUUCUUUAAAAAAAUCGAAGACCUCCUCACAGGCCUUUCUGUAUCUUAUUUCACCAAUCCCUUUGGGCAACAUUUUUGAACGCAAGACGAAAAGAUAAAGCAUGUACUCCGAUAGGCAUCUGCUGAUUUUGCUGUAUUCAUUAAUGAGACUAUAGAGAUCAGUUGUCUUAAUAUCAUCAUAGUAACAGAGCUGGGUAGCAAUGUGCCAAAGAAGAAUGCUUUCGUCAAAUUCUACAUCAACGGUGCUCCAUUUAAGCUCAUCAAGGAGCUUCAUUUCAUUAAGUACACAUUCACCUCUGUAAUUCAAUACUUUGCUGCUUAAUUCGGUAUUAUCGAAAUCUUCAAGCUCUUUAGUUCUCCUAUCUAGUUGAUGGAAGAUAAGGCAUUUUAGAUCGUCAUCUAUCCCUUGCUGCCAUUCCACAUUCUGAUGCUUCUCUAACAUUUCAUAGAUGCCAAGUAACUUUUUAACUAUAAUCCACUUGGUUGCCUCCUUUUGAAGGCAAAAGCUCACAAGGUUGCACUUGGCUAUGCUUCUAGACCACCUCCUACCCUUUCUCACUCGUUUUAAAUGACAUUUUUUUUGCACAACUAGCCAAAGCUUUAGCCAGUCAGAGGAAGUAAGCAUGAGCAGCGCAUAAACCUCCAGAACAACAGCUCCAACCAGCAAUAGGUAAGUUACGAACCUGUCCACCGGUGAGUAUUCAUGCUCAUCGAUGAUGAUUGAGAAGGUAACCAAUGCAGAAACAGAGGCCAAACAAGUAAUGCAGCGGAAAAAGAUACCAAAACAUGAGUAGACUAGUCUUGCUUUGGUGUAGAGCAAAUCAUACAAAAGUCCCAGCUCAUAUUCUACCACUUCGAAGGCCACUCUUGGUU